CUUUUCUGAGUUUGACCUCGAAUCAGGUAGGAUUACCCGCUGAACUUAAGCAUAUCAAUAAGCGGAGGAAAAGAAACCAACAGGGAUUGCCCUAGUAACGGCGAGUGAAGCGGCAACAGCUCAAAUUUGAAAUCUGGCCCUCGGGUCCGAGUUGUAAUUUGUAGAGGAUGUUUUUGGUGAGGUACCUUCCGAGUUCCCUGGAACGGGACGCCAUAGAGGGUGAGAGCCCCGUCUGGUUGGAUACCGAUCCUCUGUAAAACUCCUUCAACGAGUCGAGUAGUUUGGGAAUGCUGCUCUAAAUGGGAGGUAUAUGUCUUCUAAAGCUAAAUAUUGGCCAGAGACCGAUAGCGCACAAGUAGAGUGAUCGAAAGAUGAAAAGCACUUUGAAAAGAGAGUUAAAAAGUACGUGAAAUUGUUGAAAGGGAAGCGCUUAUGACCAGACUUGGACUUGGUUGAUCAUCCUGGGUUCUCCCUGGUGCACUCUUCCAGUUCAGGCCAGCAUCAGUUCGUCGCGGGGGAUAAAGGCUUCGGGAAUGUGGCUCCCUCGGGAGUGUUAUAGCCCGUUGUGUAAUACCCUGCUUUGGACUGAGGUUCGCGCAUCUGCAAGGAUGCUGGCGUAAUGGUCAUCAGCGACCCGUCUUGAAACACGGACCAAGGAGUCGUCUUCGUAUGCGAGUGUUCGGGUGUUAAACCCCUACGCGUAAUGAAAGUGAACGCAGGUGAGAGCUUCGGCGCAUCAUCGACCGAUCCUGAUGUUCUCGGAUGGAUUUGAGUAAGAGCAUACGGGGCCGGACCCGAAAGAAGGUGAACUAUGCUUGUAUAGGGUGAAGCCAGAGGAAACUCUGGUGGAGGCUCGCAGCGGUUCUGACGUGCAAAUCGAUCGUCAAAUAUGAGCAUGGGGGCGAAAGACUAAUCGAACCUUCUAGUAGCUGGUUUCCGCCGAGUUUCCCCUCAGA
rnacentral:rRNA from 1 species